rnacentral:rRNA from 1 species
AUACGGAGGGUGCAAGCGUUAUCCGGAAUCAUUGGGUUUAAAGGGUCCGUAGGCGGGCUAAUAAGUCAGGGGUGAAAUCCCACAGCUUAACUGUGGAACUGCCCUUGAUACUGUUGGUCUUGAGUUACAGUGAAGUGGUUAGAAUGUGUAGUGUAGCGGUGAAAUGCAUAGAUAUUACACAGAAUACCGAUUGCGAAGGCAGUCUACUAACUGUAUACUGACGCUAAUGGACGAAAGCGUGGGGAGCGAACAGGAUUAGAAACCCUAGUAGUCC